GUCGAGCGGUAAGGCCCUUCGGGGUACACGAGCGGCGAACGGGUGAGUAACACGUGAGCAACCUGCCCCUGACUCUGGGAUAAGCGGUGGAAACGCCGUCUAAUACCGGAUACGACCCGCCACCUCAUGGUGGAGGGUGGAAAGUUUUUCGGUCAGGGAUGGGCUCGCGGCCUAUCAGCUUGUUGGUGGGGUAACGGCCUACCAAGGCGAUUACGGGUAGCCGGCCUGAGAGGGCGACCGGCCACACUGGGACUGAGACACGGCCCAGACUCCUGCGGGAGGCAGCAGUGGGGAAUAUUGCGCAAUGGGCGAAAGCCUGACGCAGCGACGCCGCGUGGGGGAUGACGGCCUUCGGGUUGUAAACCUCUUUUACCACCAACGCAGGCUUCCAGUUCUCUGGAGGUUGACGGUAGGUGGGGAAUAAGGACCGGCUAACUACGUGCCAGCAGCCGCGGUAAUACGUAGGGUCCGAGCGUUGUCCGGAAUUAUUGGGCGUAAAGAGCUCGUAGGCGGCGUGUCGCGUCUGCUGUGAAAGACCGGGGCUUAACUCCGGUUCUGCAGUGGAUACGGGCAUGCUAGAGGUAGGUAGGGGAGACUGGAAUUCCUGGUGUAGCGGUGAAAUGCGCAGAUAUCAGGAGGAACACCGGUGGCGAAGGCGGGUCUCUGGGCCUUACCUGACGCUGAGGAGCGAAAGCAUGGGGAGCGAACAGGAUUAGAUACCCUGGUAGUCCAUGCCGUAAACGUUGGGCGCUAGGUGUGGGGACUUUCCACGGUUUCCGCGCCGUAGCUAACGCAUUAAGCGCCCCGCCUGGGGAGUACGGCCGCAAGGCUAAAACUCAAAGGAAUUGACGGGGGCCCGCACAAGCGGCGGAGCAUGUUGCUUAAUUCGACGCAACGCGAAGAACCUUACCAAGGUUUGACAUCACCCGUGGACUC
rnacentral:rRNA from 1 species